GGCUUCGUAGCUCAGUUGGUAGAGCGUUUGCCACAUUGAGGCAUGAUGUUUCUGUCACUGGUUGGAAUCCAGCCGGAGCCC
rnacentral:tRNA from 1 species